rnacentral:rRNA from 1 species
UACGUAGGGGCUAGCGUUAUCCGGAAUUACUGGGCGUAAAGGGUGCGUAGGUGGUUUCUUAAGUCAGAGGUGAAAGGCUACGGCUCAACCGUAGUAAGCCUUUGAAACUGGGAAACUUGAGUGCAGGAGAGGAGAGUGGAAUUCCUAGUGUAGCGGUGAAAUGCGUAGAUAUUAGGAGGAACACCAGUUGCGAAGGCGGCUCUCUGGACUGUAACUGACACUGAGGCGCGAAAGCGUGGGGAGCAAACAGGAUUAGAUACCCCGGUAGUCCCUGAGCGGGCU